CCUACGGGACGCAGCAGUGAGGAAUAUUGGUCAAUGGGCGCAAGCCUGAACCAGCCAAGUCGCGUGAGGGAUGACGGUCCUAUGGAUUGUAAACCUCUUUUGUCGGGGAGCAAGGCCCGCCACGUGUGGCGGGAAUGAGAGUACCUGAAGAAAAAGCAUCGGCUAACUCCGUGCCAGCAGCCGCGGUAAUACGGAGGAAGCGGGCGUUAUCCGGAUUUAUUGGGUUUAAAGGGGGCGUAGGCGGAACGUUAAGUCAGCGGUAAAAUUGAGGGGCUGAACCUC
rnacentral:rRNA from 1 species